rnacentral:rRNA from 1 species
UAAUACAGAGACUGCGAGCGUUAUUCGGAUUCACUGGGCGUAAAGGGUGCGCAGGCGGCCGUGUGUGUCAGGUGUGAAAUCUCGAGGCUCAACCUCGAAAUUGCGCCUGAAACUACACGGCUAGAGUACUGGAGAGGGAAACGGAAUUCACGGUGUAGCAGUGAAAUGCGUAGAUAUCGUGAGGAACACCAGAGGCGAAGGCGGUUUCCUGGACAGUGACUGACGCUCAGGCACGAAAGCGUGGGGAGCAAAAGGGA